CCUAUUAAGUAACAUAUGUUCCCCAUGCAAUCUCAGCUUCCCUUCAAGUAAACAUGUCCCCAUGCCAAUCUCAGCUUCCCUAUCAAUGUAAACAUGUUCCCCAUGCCAAUCUCAGCUCUAUCAAUAACAAACAUUUUCCCAUGCCAAUCUCAGCUUCCCUAUCAAUGUAAACAUAUGUUCACCAUGCCAAUCUCAGCUUCCCUAUCAAUGUAAACAUAUGUUCCCCAUGCCAAUCUCAGCUUCCCUAUCAAUGUAAACAUGUUCCCCAUGCCAAUCUCAGCUUCCCUAUCAAUGUAAACAAUAUGUUCCCCAUGCCAAUCUCAAACUUCCCUAUCAAUGUAAACAUAUGUUCCCCAUGCCAAUCUCAGCUUCCCUAUCAAUGUAAACAUAUGUUCCCCAUGCCAAUCUCAGCUUCCUUAUCAAUGUAAACAUAUGUUCCCCAUGCCAAUCUCAGCUUCCCUAUCAAUGUAAACAUAUGUUCCCCAUGCCUAUCUCAGCUUCCCUAUCAAUGUAAACAUAUGUUCCCCAUGCCUAUCUCAGCUUCCCUAUCAAUCUAAACAUAUCUUCCCCAUGCCAAUCUCAACUUCCCUAUCAAAUCAAAAAAUGUCAUGCAGACAACCUUUUGAUCGGGUAUAAACUGCUUUUGCAGUUUGUUCUUUGUUAUAGAGCCAAAGAGAUUGGAGAAGUGGUUUAUCCACACAUCUCCGUUUGGGAUAGAUAACUCCUUGUGUUUGUUUAGUGUGUUGGGAUUUUACAUUUAGCGGGGUUCUGAUGUGCUGUUCAUUAUUUUUCCGUAGUGUAUUUCUGUAUUGUUUUAGUGAUUCACCAUAGUGAAGUCUCAAGUUCUGGAUCUCUAUGUUAUUGGUUGGAUAGAUUUCUCAAUUCCUUUCUUAGGUUUAGAAUGCAAAAACCUAAGAAGGAAAUAGAGAACAAACAGCAAAAACAUAUAUACACGACCAAAUACAAAUCUUAAAAUCGACUAUUAAAAGACUGCCAGAACCCACUGGAUUCUCCAAUUACAUUGACUGAACUACAGGACAAAAUACAAAUCCUCUAAUCCAAAAGUCCUGUGGUGUUGAUGGUAUCCUAAGUGAAAUGAUAAAAAAGACAAACCACAAAUUCCAAUUGGCUAUACUUAAAACUUUUUAACAUCAUUCUCAGCUCUGGCAUCUUCCCCAAUAUUUGGAACCAAGGACUGAACACCCAAAACAUACAACAUUAUAAAAUAAAUGUAGACAAACAAAAAGUGUGAAGUGUAAAAAUUGUCAAAAAAUACAACAUUUCUUUCCACGGGCCGUGGGGUGAGACACGGACGCAGCUUGGGCCCCACCCUCUUCUAUAUAUAUAUAUAUAUCAAUGAAUUGGCGAGGGCACUAGAACA
rnacentral:lncRNA from 1 species